rnacentral:rRNA from 1 species
GAAAGUAAAAAAGGGCGCAUGGCGGAUGCCUUGGCUCUCGGAGGCGAUGAAGGACGUGAUAAGCUGCGAUAAGCUUUGGGGAGGUGCAAAUGACCUUUGAUCCAGAGAUUUCCGAAUGGGACAACCCAAUAUCUUGAAGAGGUAUUAUCUUACUAUGUAAGAGGCUAACGCAGGGAACUGAAACAUCUUAGUACCUGCAGGAAAAGAAAAUAAACAAUGAUUCCCCCAGUAGUGGCGAGCGAACGGGGAACAGCCCAAACCAUCCAUGUUACGGCAUGGGUGGGGUUGUAGGACUACGCCGUUGCAUGAAGACAUCAGAGAAGAACUUUCUGGAAAGAAAGACCAUAGAGCAUGACAGUUGCGUAUUCGAAUGUUGUCGAAGCAUAGUAGUAUCCUGAGUAGCGCGGAGCACGAGGAAUUCUGCGUGAAUCUGCCGGGACCAUCCGGUAAGGCUAAAUACUCCCGAGAGACCGAUAGCGAACCAGUACCGUGAGGGAAAGGUGAAAAGCACUUCGAACAGAAGAGUGAAAUAGUUCCUGAAACCGUGCGCCUACAAGCGGUCGGAGCUCGUUAAUGAGUGACGGCGUGCCUUUUGCAUAAUGAACCUACGAGUUGCCUUUGCCGGCAAGGUUAAGUGUGACGACACACGUAUCCGAAGCGAAAGCGAGUCUGAACAGGGCGUAUAGUCGGCAGUGGCAGACGCGAAACCAAGUGAUCUACCCUUGGCCAGGUUGAAGGCUGGGUAACACCAGCUGGAGGACCGCACCAAUAAGCGUUGAAAAGCUUCUGGAUGAGCUGAGGGUAGGGGUGAAAGGCUAAUCAAACUUGGAGAUAGCUCGUACUCCCCGAAAUGCAUUUAGGUGCAGCCUUGCGGGUUACUGAUGUGAGGUAGAGCGACUGAUAAGAUGCGAGGGCUUCACCGCCUAUCAAGUCUUGACAAACUCCGAAUGCGCAUCAGUUCUACCGCAGGAGUGAGGGCAUGGGUGCUAAGGUCCGUGCCCGAGAGGAGAAGAAUCCGGACCACCUGCUAAGGUCCCGAAAUGACAGCUAAGUUAAACUAACGAAGUCUGACUGCUAAGACAGCUAGGAUGUUGGCUUGGAAGCAGCCAUUCAUUUAAAGAGUGCGUAACAGCUCACUAGUCGAGGAGUCGGGCGUGGAUAAUAAUCGGGUAUCAAGUUGUCUACCGAAGCAGUGGGAUCAUUGAUAUGAUCGGUAGGGGAGCAUUCCAGUCAGCGUCGAAGGCGUACCGUGAGGUAUUCUGGAGCGUCUGGAAAAGCAAAUGUAGGUAUAAGUAACGAUAAAGGGGGCGGGAAACCCCCUCGCCGAAAGACUAAGGUUUCCUGAUCAACGCUAAUCGGAUCAGGGUCAGUCGGGUCCUAAGGCUCAGCCGAACGGCGAUGCCGAUGGCAGAAACGGUUAAUAUUCCGUUACUACCUUCAGGAGUGACGUGGAGACGCAGUAGUGACAGUGCCGCCAUCUGACGGAAUAGAUGGUUGAAGGGUGUAGGAGUCGAUCAUGGCAGGCAAAUCCACCAUGAGAUCCGAACCUGACAGUAUGCCGCGUCCUUCGGGACAAGGCAAUAGUGCGCGUAAGCAUGCUGCCGAGAAAAUCCGCUAAACUUAAUCCUGCAGGUACCCGUACCGCAAACGGACACACGUAGUCGGGAUGAAUAUUCUAAGGCGCUUGAGUGAUUCACGGUUAAGGAACUAGGCAAACUGACCCUGUAACUUCGGGAUAAAGGGUCCCUACCCUUUUAUGGGAGGGCGCAGAGAAUCGGUCCAGGCAACUGUUUAACAAAAACACAGGGCUGUGCCAAAUCGAAAGAUCCAGUAUACAGCCUGACACCUGCCCGGUGCUGGAAGGUUAAGAGGAGAUGUCAUCGAUAAGAGAAGCGUUGAAUUGAAGCCCCAGUAAACGGCGGCCGUAACUAUAACGGUCCUAAGGUAGCGAAAUUCCUUGUCGGGUAAGUUCCGACCUGCACGAAUGGUGUAAUGAUCUGGACGCUGUCUCAACCGUGAGCUCAGUGAAAUUGUAGUAUCGGUGAAGAUGCCGAUUACCCGCGAUGGGACGAAAAGACCCCGUGAACCUUUACUAUAGCUUAUCAUUGAAUCUGGGCACGUGAUGUGUAGGAUAGGUCGGAGGCUUUGAAGCAGGUACGCCAGUAUUUGUGGAGCCGCUGUUGAAAUACGACCCUUUAUUUGUUUGGAUUCUAACCCGUGGAUACGGGGACAUUGAUUGGUGGGUAGUUUGACUGGGGUGGUCGCCUCCAAAAGCGUAACGGAGGCUUCUAAAGGUGCCCUCCGGCCGAUUGGUAACCGGCCUUAGAGUGUAAUGGCAUAAGGGCGCUUGACUGGGAGACUGACAAGUCGAUCAGGUAGGAAACUAGAGCAUAGUGAUCCGGUGUUUCCGUAUGGAA